GGCUGGCGAACAUCGAUUACACAAUUCCGCCUACCAACACUGGCCUUAAAUAUGGCACAACUAGCCAAUUGUGCAAAUGCACGGGUCCAAGCAGAGCCAAAGCGGAAGAGCCUGCAUAAAUUCAACACUGGACAUUUUGUGUGUGUGUAAUAUGUUAAAUAUUAUUUGCAACGGCAAAAAAGCAGUGGAUAAGACAUUAUUUGUCUUGCAAGCGGGACGUGCGUAUUGGCCUUCAAGAAUAUUGUUUAAAUUCGUAAUUUGAAAUCGAUCAGUGACCGAAACGGACGGUUGCGAGCGGGAUAUGCUUCUACAUUUUCAAUUUUACCGAUUUAUAACUCUGUUCAAGCGGCUAAUCGAAUCUACUACUACUACUGGAAUAUUUAUGAUAAUAUAUUGGCAUUAUAAAUGCUCAUAUGAGGCUAAUUUGCCAACGGGCAAAGUUGCAACGGGCACUACAAAAUAAAAUGUAUGUUGAGACAUUAA
rnacentral:sRNA from 1 species